AAUGGCCGGCUAGGUUGAAAGAACACGUUUUCUUGUGGACGAAAGAGUGUGAUGCAAAACAUGUCUGAGAAGUCUGGGUGACAACAUGAUUUUUUUUUUUAGCUAGCUACUGUCAAUACUUCUGUUGAGCAGAAGCUGCUUUUUUUAUUUUAAAAAUCUGCCACUACACAUGGAGACGCAUUUGAAGCAGUUAGGCCAAGUAAAGGAAUAGCGCAUGCUAAACUGCACACAUCACAAGAAUAUAGCCUGCAAGAUGUGGUGAGGGAGGUCGCGGAAUUUAGGAUAACCCGACUGACUGACGUGGAGAACGUGGAGUCACGAUAAACACUACUUCACCUAAGAGACUUGAGUAUCCAGUUCUUCAUUGACCUUCAGCAUUCAGUUGUUUGUCUUCACCUUUUCAGGUAAGCAAUUAAAAAAAAUGCUUUUGUAAUGUUGAGAAACACUGAAAUUAUUAUUCAUAAAAAACUUUCAACCACUGUUCUGUGAUGUCACGUAUAGUGAUAUACAAAUAUAUCUGAAGGAAAGGUGUAUUUGGGAUAAUCAAUAUUAUUAGUAUUAUUCAUGUAUUUAUUCAUUUUUAAAUCAGAGAAUGGGGGAAAAUAGAUUAUUAGUACAAAAACUAGUAACUAGUAAAAAAAAAAAUUGGUAACAAUAAUGUUCAUUCAUUAAUUGACGCUUGGUCAAACUCUCAUCUAAUUAAGUAUUGCUGUCUCAUUAAUGUAUUUAUUUAUUUUGUCGGCUAAAACCUGAGGAGAAGAAGAAGAUGACUUUAUUAAUCCCACAAUGGGGAAAUUCAACCUCUGCAUUUAACCCAUCCUUUUUUACACACAAGUGAACACACCAUGCAAGGAGCAGUGGGCAGCACAUUACUGCGCCGGAAGCCAUCACCAUGUUGUUUUUUCACAUCAGAAUAAGUAUUUCACAUGAUGCAGAUCUUUCAGCAUAUGGUCCUCAAUAUAUAGUAUAGAAGUCACUGUAUUUUCUGACUUUUCCAGGUUUCCUGUGUCCAGCAUCUUCAAGACAGACUAAGCUAACUUUUCAUAUUUUUUGCACAUUUAUAUUUAGGUUAGGUUUAUAGUAGAGUAUUUAGUUUGUAUAGUUUAGCUUUUUAUGCUGGUCUAGGGACAGUUAAGUUAGCAAAUUAAUUUAGUUCAGAUCACUUACAGUUGCAUAUUAUUGUUACAAUUGUGUUAUUUUGUGAGUUAUUGUUGUACAGGCUAUUGUAUAUUGCAGGACCAAGUGAGACGAGGAAGACCACUGCUUCCAAGAUGCCGCGCUCAGAAAGUGCGUUGGACAAGUCUCGACCUUGCAGAUCCUGCCCCACUGAGCCCAACCACUUCCGACCAUGGGGUACCUCAAAGACCUCCGUCAACCAGCCGGCUGUGGAUGAUGGAUAACGCACCCACAACUCCUUCUCCAGUCUACAAGACACCCCCACAGUCCAAGAACAGCUGGAUGACCUCUGGACCCACUUGCCCCCGUUCACCAGUUGAAAAGAUAGGCUUUUUAAAAAAUUCUUCAAUUGUUAAUUCUGCACAAAGUGAUACACAAAACAUUGUAUGUCUUCCAUUUCAACAAACACAAACAUGAAAUGUAUAUUUCAAUACAUAACUUAAUGCAAAUCAAUCAUACUAAACAUCAUCUUUUUUUUUAAACCAA